GCAAGUCUUUCAGAGUUUGUUGCUGCUGCGUGACAAAAGACAGAGGUGAUUAUGCCUGAAGUAGAGGAGAAGACGAGGAAACUUGCUGUUGUUUGGGAUCAAAUCAAGUCUGUCUACCACGACCCUUAUCGCUGGUCGUUUGUUCGUAACCUUUUGUUUUUCGCUGCUGGAGUCUUUAUUGCCAGCGAGAUAGCUGAAGUAGACUUGAACGCUCCUCUGCCAGUGCCUGCACCCGUACAAUGAUGACACUAAGAUUUCUAGUUGUUACUGUUGAUAGGAGUUGCGAGUAUUUGUAGAGUAGCUACGACUGUACGUCUCUGUCAAACUCACAAAUGUGACUUGCUCGGACAUUGCUAAUACAAAAUACAAUAUUGAUUAUAAAUAAUCAAA